AUCACUCAGACAACAAUGAUAAUGGAAGUGUAAUGUAAUGUUUUCAGUAUGAAUGUGUAGUAGCCUGCUUCUCUUCAUUUAAUAUGACAUGUAGAGUUUGACUAAGUGGAGGUGUUUGUGUAUUAUGUCUCAGAUGCUGCUGGUGCUUCUGCUGCUGGACCAAGUCAUGUGACUUACGCCCAGAUUCAACUGAACAAGUUGGACAAGAAAAAGAAAGUAAAGAGAGAUUAUCCAAAAGAAAAUCCUGUCUACUCUGAGGUGAAGACAGGGAAAGCCACUGCAGCCGCUGGACCUGUUGAUGUGACCUAUGCUGAGGUUGACCUCCAAAAGAAGGUCAAAGCCAAGAAGAAGAGAGAAACAGCAACCCCACCUGAGGCAGAACCUGUCUAUUCUCUAGUGAAGCCAUACACAGCCCCGAAGCAGCUGGUCACAUCUAUGCUGAGGUUGACCUCCAAAAGAAUGUCAAAGCCAAGAAGAAGAGAGCAACCCCACCAGUAGCAGAUUCAGUCUAUUCUCAAGUGAAGCCACACAAAGCCACAGGUCCUUGAGGGAGCUGGAGGGACACACCAUCAGAGGAGGAG